rnacentral:rRNA from 1 species
UUGAGCGAUUUACUUCGGUAAAGAGCGGCGGACGGGUGAGUAACGCGUGGGUAACCUACCCUGUACACACGGAUAACAUACCGAAAGGUAUGCUAAUACGGGAUAAUAUAUUUGAGAGGCAUCUCUUAAAUAUCAAAGGUGAGCCAGUACAGGAUGGACCCGCGUCUGAUUAGCUAGUUGGUAAGGUAACGGCUUACCAAGGCGACGAUCAGUAGCCGACCUGAGAGGGGGAUCGGCCACAUUGGAACUGAGACACGGUCCAAACUCCUACGGGAGGCAGCAGUGGGGAAUAUUGCACAAUGGGCGAAAGCCUGAUGCAGCAACGCCGCGUGAGUGAUGAAGGCCUUCGGGUCGUAAAACUCUGUCCUCAAGGAAGAUAAUGACGGUACUUGAGGAGGAAGCCCCGGCUAACUACGUGCCAGCAGCCGCGGUAAUACGUAGGGGGCUAGCGUUAUCCGGAUUUACUGGGCGUAAAGGGUGCGUAGGCGGUCUUUCAAGUCAGGAGUGAAAGGCUACGGCUCAACCGUAGUAAGCUCUUGAAACUGGGAGACUUGAGUGCAGGAGAGGAGAGUGGAAUUCCUAGUGUAGCGGUGAAAUGCGUAGAUAUUAGGAGGAACACCAGUUGCGAAGGCGGCUCUCUGGACUGUAACUGACGCUGAGGCACGAAAGCGUGGGGAGCAAACAGGAUUAGAUACCCUGGUAGUCCACGCUGUAAACGAUGAGUACUAGGUGUCGGGGGUUACCCCC